rnacentral:rRNA from 1 species
ACGAACGCUGGCGGCGUGCUUAACACAUGCAAGUCGAACGGAAAGGCCCUGCUUGCAGGGUACUCGAGUGGCGAACGGGUGAGUAACACGUGGGUGAUCUGCCCUGCACUUCGGGAUAAGCCUGGGAAACUGGGUCUAAUACCGGAUAGGAGCCAUUUUUAGUGUGAUGGUUGGAAAGUUUUUUCGGUGUAGGAUGAGCUCGCGGCCUAUCAGCUUGUUGGUGGGGUAAUGGCCUACCAAGGCGGCGACGGGUAGCCGGCCUGAGAGGGUGGACGGCCACAUUGGGACUGAGAUACGGCCCAGACUCCUACGGGAGGCAGCAGUGGGGAAUAUUGCACAAUGGGCGCAAGCCUGAUGCAGCGACGCCGCGUGGGGAUGACGGCCUUCGGGUUGUAAACUCCUUUCGCUAGGGACGAAGCUUUUUGUGACGGUACCUAGAUAAGAAGCACCGGCUAACUACGUG